UACGGCCAUAUCACGUUAAAACACCGGUUCUCGUACUAUCAUCGAAAUUCAGCAAUGUCGUGCCUGGUCAGUACCUAGAUGGGUGACCGCUUGGGAAUACCAGGUGUUGUAAG